rnacentral:rRNA from 1 species
GAUGAACGCUGGCGGCGUGCUUAACACAUGCAAGUCGAACGAUGAUGCCCAGCUUGCUGGGUGGAUUAGUGGCGAACGGGUGAGUAACACGUGAGUAACCUGCCCUUGACUCUGGGAUAAGCCUGGGAAACUGGGUCUAAUACCGGAUACGACCAUCUGGCGCAUGUCAUGGUGGUGGAAAGCUUUUGUGGUUUUGGAUGGACUCGCGGCCUAUCAGCUUGUUGGUGGGGUAAUGGCCUACCAAGGCGACGACGGGUAGCCGGCCUGAGAGGGUGACCGGCCACACUGGGACUGAGACACGGCCCAGACUCCUACGGGAGGCAGCAGUGGGGAAUAUUGCACAAUGGGCGGAAGCCUGAUGCAGCGACGCCGCGUGAGGGAUGACGGCCUUCGGGUUGUAAACCUCUUUCAGUAGGGAAGAAGCGAAAGUGACGGUACCUGCAGAAGAAGCGCCGGCUAACUACGUG